rnacentral:lncRNA from 1 species
UUGAUAUUCAAUUUUAUUUUCAGUCUCAGCACACUGGCAAAUUAUUCAAGUACACUGUAACAUUUCAAAUUGCGCAUUUAAAAAAUAUAUGAUUUUAGUGUUCAUUAUCCAAAAACAAACACAAGAUUCACAUACCGGUAUCAUUAACAUAAAUAAUUAUACAUUAAAGUUUGUAGAUUAUCAAUGGUUCUUCAAAAGUGAGGGAGUUUCUCGGUUACAAUAUCUAAUCCAAGUUGAUAGCUUUGAGAUGAUAUGUAGCAGAAAAAAAACAUCAAGUUUUAAAGACCAUUGGUAAACGGUUUAGCACUUUUUUCUUAGUCAAUUUCAAUGAUAUAUGCUUUAAAAUACUUCAAAUGUCAAACUUCUCAAAUAAUAAAUACCAGUAUCUCUUAGAGUGAUGAGAUUGAAAAAGAUCCUAGAAAAAGCUCAAAGAAAAAAUUUGAGAAACAAAAACCAAUUACAAAUUUCUGAUAUUUAUAAAGACAGUGUAACUAACUGUGUUUUGCUAUUCAGAAUCCAUAUAGUAUUCUAA